rnacentral:tRNA from 1 species
GCCUGGCUGGUUCAGUGGUAGAGCGCGAGACUCUUGAUCUCAGGGUUGUGAGUUUGAACUCCAUGUUGAGUA